UUCCGCUUGAGGCUCUGGAUGUGCUUGGUGAGCUGGGUGAUGGUCUGUGGCUCCUUGCCAUCUCCACAGCUGCAGCGUGAAGAACUCCGCGGCAUCAUAAACUGCUGAGUGCUGGGUGGAGAUGGGGCUGACUCGGGGUCUAAGUUGAAUCUCUGGCUUUGGCUGAAGAUGGAGCAUCGUGGCGACAGCAGUGGGUUAUCACC
rnacentral:lncRNA from 1 species